AUGGCGCUGGUGAUAACUUACGAACCGACGGCGACGGCUGGUCCUUCACCUGCCAACACGGCGCCGGCGAGUGCAAGGGCAACAUGAUUCACGCCUGCGCCAAGGACCACUUCAAGGACAUCAACCUCGAGAUGGAAUUCGUCAACUGCCUUCUCUCGUCGACCUACCCACCCAACGCCGGCGCCACGUGUGCAGCUCAGGUGGAUGCCGACUGGGCGCCCCUCGAGCACUGCAUCAACUCCGUGGAGGGAGAGAACCUCCUCCACCAGGUGGCUCUGCAGCAGGAACAGCUCAACCCUUCCCUCUACUUCGUUCCUUGGAUCAUCGUUAAUGAUGUGUUCAGCGAGGACCAGGUUGGAGAGUGCCAGACCAACCUGAAGAAGGUCGUCUGCGAGAAGUACACGGGGACCAAACCCGCCGAAUGCGAUGGCAUCUUGGCUGCUGGAGGAGGAUCACCGGCUUCAAGGCCCGUCACCCGAGCCUAAAGGAAACGCCCGGAAAAAAAAAAACCGCCUUCCUUCAUUUCCAAAAAA